rnacentral:rRNA from 1 species
UGGUACGUACUGGUAUCAUUGGUUUCUCCUUUCUGACGAACCAUGAUGUCAUUAAUUUGGUGUUAUGGGAAGUUAGGACUGUUACUUUGAAAAAAUUAGAGUGUUUAAAGCAGGCUUUGGCUUGAAUACAUUAGCAUGGAAUAAUGAAAUAGGACGUUCGAACCUAUUUUGUUGGUUUCUAGGAUCAACGUAAUGAUUAAUAGGGAUAGUUGGGGGCAUUAGUAUUCAAUUGUCAGAGGUGAAAUUCUUGGAUUUAUUGAAGACUAACUACUGCGAAAGCACUUGCCAAGGAUGUUUUCAUUAAUCAAGAACGAAAGUUAGGGGAUCGAAGACGAUCAGAUACCGUCGUAGUCUUAACCAUAAACUAUGCCGACUAGGGAUCGGAUGAUGUUAAUUUUUUAAUGACUCAUUCGGCGCCUUA